rnacentral:pre_miRNA from 22 species
GCAGCAAGAAAAAUGAGGGACUUUCAGGGGCAGCUGUGUUUUACUAACCCAGUCAUAAUGCCCCUAAAAAUCCUUAUUGUUCUUGCAAUAGUC